UACAGAGGGUGCGAGCGUUGUCCGGAAUCACUGGGCGUAAAGGGCUCGUAGGCGGCCAACUAAGUCAGACGUGAAAUCCCUCGGCUUAACCGGGGAACUGCAUCUGAUACUGGAUGGCUUGAAUCCGGGAGAGGGAUGCGGAAUUCCAGGUGUAGCGGUGAAAUGCGUAGAUAUCUGGAGGAACACCGGUGGCGAAGGCGGCAUCCUGGACCGGCAUUGACGCUGAGGAGCGAAAGCCAGGGGAGCAAACGGG
rnacentral:rRNA from 1 species